CCUACGGGAGGCUGCAGUGGGGAAUAUUGGGCAAUGGAGGAAACUCUGACCCAGCAACGCCGCGUGAAUGAUGAAGGUCUUCGGAUUGUAAAGUUCUUUUCUAAGGGAAGAAGAAAGUGACGGUACCUUAGGAAGAAGCCUCGGCUAACUACGGGCCAGCAGCCGCGGUAAUACGUAGGAGGCGAGCGUUAUCCGGAAUGACUGGGCGUAAAGGGUGCGUAGGCGGUUUGGCAAGUCAGUAGCGUAACUCCAAGGCUCAACCUUGGAACUACUACUAAAACUGUUGGACUUGAGUGCAGGAGAGGCAAGCGGAAUUCCUAGUGUAGCGGUGGAAUGCGUAGAUAUUAGGAGGAACACCAGUGGCGAAGGCGGGUUGCUGGACUGUAACUGACACUGAGGCACGAAAGCGUGGGGAGCAAACAGGAUUAGAUACCCUAGUAGUC
rnacentral:rRNA from 1 species